rnacentral:rRNA from 1 species
UAGGGAAUCUUCCACAAUGGACGAAAGUCUGAUGCAGCAACGCCGCGUGAGUGAAGAAGGGUUUCGGCUCGUAAAACUCUGUUGUUAAAGAAGAACAUAUCUGAGAGUAACUGUUCAGGUAUUUACGGUAUUUAACCAGAAAGCCACGGCUAACUACGUGCCAGCAGCCGCUGUAAUACGUAGGUGGCAAGCGUUGUCCGGAUUUAUUGGGCGUAAAGCGAGCGCAGGCGGUUUUUUAAGUCUGAUGUGAAAGCCUUCGGCUCAACCGAAGAAGUGCAUCGGAAACUGGGAAACUUGAGUGCAGAAGAGGAGAGUGGAACUAGAUGUGUAGCGGUGAAAUGCGUAGAUAUAUGGAAGAACACCAGUGGCGAAGGCGGCUGACUGGUCUGUAACUGACGCUGAGGCUCGAAAGUAUGGGUAGCAAACAGG